AGCACUUCUGUGUGUGUAUUAUUUGUAACAAAGCCUUCCAGAGAGGUGAAAGUAGUAAAUCCUCUUUUGCAACACAUUGUCGAGUAUGGGUUUUGAUACAAGUAAGAAGGAAUAUG
ensembl:snoRNA